UAAACUCUAUGAGUGCAGAGACCAUUGUUUAUCUUGUACUCCAUGUGGCUAGCAUGGAAGAGGAAUUCGGGAAGCAUUUGUUGAAUAAAAAAAUAAUCUCCUACGUUGGUGGCCUCCUGGCUUCAGGAAUUGUGGUUCAGGCAUGGAGCCCAAAGGGCAAUGGGUUCCAGAGCUCAAAUGCAUGGCA
rnacentral:lncRNA from 1 species